UAAUGGUGUGCUGUCGAGGAUUUGGGGGGAAUGGCACUGCCACUUGUGACGUUUGGGUUCCGCUUUUAGCAGGUCUUUUAGAAAUGCUAAUUGGAUUUCACAUGCAUUGAGCACCACCCUUGGAUGGAGGUCAGGCCCAGGUCAAAGUGUUUGAGAGAAGAAAACACAGAUAAAAUAACCGCCUCACCUGCAUAAAGUUGGUAAAAACUUUUUGUCAAUAGAGGAAUUGCCCUUAAAUCCAGGUCACUGUGGUGUGAUAUGUCGUAGUAGGAGCAAUAAGAACAAGUUUUACUAACCUGCCACUUGAACUUCGCCAAGUGUUUGAAUGUUUCCUGGUCCCACUUUCCUCGUCAGUAAACGAGAACAUCAAACUGCAUGGCCUCGGAACUGUUCCCGCUCCAACUUUCUAAGCCCAUGCUGAUAGCCUCCAGAGCCCUCACAAGCAAUGUUGUCCUACAUUCCACAACACAGCCUUGCUCUCCAGUUGUCCUGGCAGGCCAGUCUUGCCAUACCAGUAACAUCCUAAACUCCUAAGAGGGUGGCCUUUCAGGACUUAGAGGAUCUGUAAAUGAAAUUCAUUCAUUGGUGGGGCCAAGUUUUCACUUUCAGAGUUAAAUAUUACAUCCCUUCUUUCUCGCUCCAUUUCUCAUCAGUCUUCCAGAUGAUGAACUUCUUAAGUCGGGGUUACCAAAGCUAAGACUUUGUUGGGGUCACAAGAAACUGUCCCGGAAGGAGGAAAUAGAGAUAGUAUCACAAGAAGGUCAAAAAGUAACGCUCCACGCUGUUGGGUGUUUGGUCAGGUUCUGACUGCACUUCUGGGUCUACUUGGAGGCAGCGUGAUUGAGAGGAAUGUGGCAACACUGGGCCAGGCCAGAGAACGGAACAAAAACGCCAUCGGAAGGUUGGAGGGAGAUAACCCACAGAGAAAAAUAAAGCCCAACUAUUGAUAGAAAAA